CAGGCCUCCCUCUGCUUGGUUCCAGUCGUGGGCAUGAGUGAGGGGCGAUGCUUGAUGGCUUUGAUGCCAUCGGUGGGAAUGCGUUUAAGCAUCGGCCUUCCCUUAUGCCCACGAUGGUCUACAGUCUUGGGUAUGAGUCAGUGACGAUGCUUGUUAGUUUUGAUGCUUGCGAAUGAACUUGCUUGAGCAACCGACCCGAUGAAGUAUUCAACCUAGUAGGGACUUGUCCCUGCGCCCAACGACUUUUGUCGGGAUCGUGGCAUGUCUGCGAUCCAGGGGGUGAUGUUGAGAGCUGGAAGGCAAGGGGGUGCAAACACCAGUCGGCCUUUGUCCCGAUUGCUGAGUGUUAUGUGCUUGACGUCCAAGGCUUGAUGCUGACCCUCCAAGUGGGGCUUGUCCCUGCACUAAUGGCUUUUGCCAGGAUCAUGGCGUUUGUUAUGAUCGAAUAACUGAGGGGGUGAUGUUGAGAGCCGGAAGGCAAGGGGGUGCAAACACCAGUCGGCCUUUGUCCCGAUUGCUGAGUGUUAUGUGCUUGAUGUCCAAGGCUUGAUGCUGACCUUCCAAGUGGGGUGUUUUUUGUUCCUGCGGUAACGACUUUGUUGGGAUCAUUGUGAUCAAGUUUGGUUGGUUUCGUAUUGUGGUGGGUUUUUUCGAAGCUUCUGUCGUUCUUUUACGCAUCGUGCGGUGCAUCUUGGGGGCUGUUUUGGCUUUUGGUUGCUUGCUUGGGCUUUAUGCUAGGCGGGUGGCUAAU
rnacentral:misc_RNA from 1 species